GUAUAGGUCAUCAUGUAAUUUUUAAGUUAAAUUUCUCUUGUAGAUGGCUUUACUGGAAAGAGGAUGCUGCAAGCUGGUUUGCAGUUUUCCAUGUCAUUGUUCAUCACAUGACUAGGGGGAGUUCAAUAAAGAUUUAUGGAAAGGGCUAAGAACCCACAUGCAGAAACCUUGUGAUCCAACCAGGGCACAGGACCAUGUGCGGGCUAGGGUGACCAGACUGACAUCAAAUCUAUUGUGGGAUUCAAUAAAAAUGAAGUCUUAUUAUUGUAUAUUUUUUCUAGUGGGUAACAAUCUUGCUAGGAGCACAUUUUCCAGCAACACAAAAUCAGAAGGAACAAAAAGAGGAUCUUUCAUGUAAAAAGAGGAAUUGAGAAACUCUGUUUUAAGUAGCUCAUAGCCAUAGUCCAUUGAAAGUUCAUAUUUUUCAAUUGAAAACUAUGUUCAUUGCCAUAAAUUGAAAAUUGAUAGGUAUUACCAUGAGUCUCAGUUUAGGUCUAGAAGAGCUUGAGUGACAAAAAUUAAGCUCAGUUGGUUCUCAGAGUGUUAAAGGAAAGUUAGAAAAGGGUAAUUAUCACCAUUAUUCUCAAAAGCUGAGUGACAUAAGCCUGAAUAAAGAAAAUGACGUAACGUCAGCUAGUAGUAAGUGAGAGACCUUUUAAAAAGGUAUAAAGAAAA
rnacentral:lncRNA from 1 species